GAGUUCAUAUCGACGGCGGUGUUUGGCACCUCGAUGUCGGCUCAUCACAUCCUGGGGCUGUAGCCGGUCCCAAGGGUAUGGCUGUUCGCCAUUUAAAGUGGUACGCGAGCUGGGUUCAGAACGUCGUGAGACAGUUCGGUCCCUAUCUGUCGUGGGCGUUGGAGAUUUGAGGGGGGCUGCUCCUAGUACGAGAGGACCGGAGUGGACGUUCCGCUGGUGUUCGGGUUGUCAUGCCCAUGGCAUUGCCCGGUAGCUACGAACGGAAGUGAUAACCGCUGAAAGCAUCUAAGCGGGAAGCACGCCCCAAGAUGAGAUCUCCCGAGAGCUUGACUCUCCUUAAGGCACCAUCAAGACCAGGUGGUUGAUAGGUCAGGUGUGGAAGCGCAGCAAUGCGUUCAGCUAACUGAUACUAAUGAGCCGUGAGGCUUGACCAUAUAACCCCAAG
rnacentral:rRNA from 1 species